rnacentral:lncRNA from 1 species
GUAAGAGAAAGGUUCACUUAGGUCAGUUCUGUGAAUCUUGUGUAAUCUUUUAAGAUUACACUGCAAUCAUACUAAGACAACUGCACACCUGAUCACUUUAUGGAUAGAAUAGUAAAGCCAACAGCAAAGCGUUAUGAUCUGCAACACUGGGAAUCAAGAGUUCUGCUCCUUUCUUGGAGAUGUUACAUAGAAUAUCAUUCUUUAAUUACCUUAAUCAACUUCCAAAGUUAUAGAAGCAAAGGGUAGUUCAUACAUCAUAAAUAGAAAGAUUCUAUAUCUGAAACUAUAUCUUCCUUUGGUUCCCACAAGGGAGAAAAUAGAAAACAGUAAAUACAUGAAAUGAAUGUUCCUCAGAAAUGACAUUUAUGUUUGAGAGCAUUGGAUGAUCUAGCCCAGUAGUUCUUACAAAUUUUUUCCCCCCAUACCAGGGAUUGAACUCAGGGGCACUGGACCACUGAGCCACAUCCCCAAUCCUAUUUUGUAUUUUAUUUAGAGACAGGGUCUCACUGAGUUGGUUAGCACCUUGCUGUUGCUGAGGCUGGCUUUAAACUGUAGAUCCUCCUGCCUUAGCCCCCAAGCUGCUGGGAUUACAGGCUUGUGCCAUCGUGCCCAGCUAGCCCGGUAGUUCUUAAACAUGUUUGAGCAUCAGAAUCACCAGGGAUACUUUCAAAAGGUAACUUGAGGCUCCCUCGUCCCUCCCCCCCCCCGCCCCGUAACCUCACACGCAUUUACAC